CAAGGGCUUCAAACUGACAGGGAGGAGGGUUAGAUUUGAUGUUAGGAAAACAUUGUUUCCUGUGAGGGUGGUGAGGCCCUGGCAGGGGCUGUGCAGAGAGGCUGUGGCUGCCCCAUCCCUGGCAACAUUCAAGGUCCACUUGGCCGUGGCCCUGAGCAACUUGGUCAGGUUGGAACAAGAUGAUUUGUAGGGUCUGUCCCAAGCCAAAGCACUCAAGGAUUCCAUCAUUCCAUGAUCCCCAUCCCCAGUGCGGAGUGGCCCUGGACCUCCUGUGACAUCGCAGCUGCCAGAGCUGUGCCCGUGUUCCAUGUGGAACUGCCAGGGCCCGGCGACGAGCACAACGCAGCCAUUCCCCUGCUGCCAGCCAGCCCUGAGCAGCUCCCAGCGCACCCUCUGGCCCGACCACCUUUGGUUCCAAGAGUACCCUUCGCCCUGCUCCCUCUGGACUGUCCCCACCUGCUCCCUUGAACAUCCGUCAGUGCUGACUCUGCCUGCAGUCUGCAAGACUGUUGUGAUCCAUGCCAGCAGGAUGUGCAGCCUUGUCCCAGUGAAUGUCCAGUGCCAGUCCAUGGAGGAGGGCACCAACUGACUGGCCAGGUGGGCUGGAGCUCAGUGGGGCUGGGGUGGGACAGGCCCCCUCUGUGAGGUUGUUCUCCCUGCUGCAGGCUGAGAGAGACAGCGAAGAGCCAACGGAAGGGGACACGGCGAGAGAUCUAAAAGGCGAUGUAGAGGAGAUGGAGGUGGACACGCAAGAGGAAGAAGAGAUGGACGUGGAAGAGGAAGGCGAGAAGGAGGCGGCCAUGAUCCUGGGAUAAGGACACCCCGCCUCAGCAGCAGGACUGACGGACGUGCCGGCCACGGAAUCGGCUACUUGUACAUAUGUUUUACAUGUUGUUCUGUAAAUACAUUUUAUAUUAUUGAAUUUUUAA